GCGGAUGUAGUGGUCGACGGCCCAGCGGACGGCGUAGGCGCUCUCGUCGGAGAGGUCGACGGCGACGCCGAGCUUGCGGCGGGCGCCGGCGGUGGGGGUGGGGGUGGCGCCGGCAGGGGAGGAGUGGUGGCGGGGGGAGUUGGGGUGGUGGAUUCUGAUUUGGGGGAGCUGGGGGUCGGCGUGGUCUUGGGGUUGUGGGUGAUUCAUUUGUUUAGAUUAGGGUUUGGUUUUCAGAGAGAGUUGACGGGAGAAGCGUGGAGAGAGGGUUUUUGGUUUUCUAAACA
rnacentral:lncRNA from 1 species